rnacentral:rRNA from 1 species
AACGAACGCUGGCGGCAUGCCUAACACAUGCAAGUCGAACGAGACCUUCGGGUCUAGUGGCGCACGGGUGCGUAACGCGUGGGAACCUGCCCUUAGGUUCGGAAUAACUCCCCGAAAGGGGUGCUAAUACCGGAUCAUGUCUUCGGACCAAAGAUUUAUCGCGUUUGGAUGGGCCCGCGUUGGAUUACCUAGUUGGGAGGCUAAAAGCCUACCAAGGCGACGAUCCAUAGCUGGUCUGAGAGGAUGAUCAGCCACACUGGGACUGAGACACGGUCGGGACUCCUACGCGAGGGAGCAGUGGCGAAUAUUGGAAAACGGGCGAAAGCCUGAACGAGUACUGCCGGGUGAGUGAUGAAGGCUGUAGGGUUGUAAAGCUCGUUUACCCGGUAUGAUAAUGACAGUACCGGGAGAAUAAGCUCCGGCUAACUCCGUG